GUGAGUAUAGCUCAGUGAUAGAACGCAUGCUUAGCAUGCAUGAGGUCCUGGGUUCAAUCCCCAGUACUUCCA
rnacentral:tRNA from 1 species